rnacentral:misc_RNA from 1 species
UGAAGUUUGGGCACAACCCACAAAUUCAAAGGAAAACACAUCACGGCCUAAAAUUAGCUCUGAGAAGUGGAUUGACUAUGCUAGGACUGCUUUUUCUGUGGAUCCUCGGAUUGCCUUAUCCUUGGCCUCGAGGUUCCCUGCAAAUGCUUCUUUGAAGGCUGAAAUAACUCAUCUUGUUCAGUCACAUAUUCUGGAAAUUCGUUGCAUACCUGAAGCGUUGCCUUAUUUUGUCACCCCAAAGGCUGUUGACGAAAAUUCAGUGCUUUUGCAACAACUGCCUCACUGGGCUGCUUGUUCAAUCACACAAGCUCUUGAGUUCCUCACUCCUGCAUAUAAGGGUCAUCCGCGCGUCAUGGCAUAUGUUCUCAGGGUUUUGGAAUCCUACCCUCCAGAGCGAGUGACCUUCUUCAUGCCACAGCUAGUGCAGUCUCUGAGAUACGAUGAAGAGAGGUUAGUUGAAGGGUAUUUGCUCAGAGCUGCUCAAAGAAGUGACAUAUUCGCUCAUAUUCUGAUAUGGCAUAUACAGGGUGAGACGUGUGUACCGGAAGGAGGAAAAGAUGCUAUCUCUGGAAAGAAUAGUUCAUUUCAAGCGCUAUUGCCAAUUGUUCGGCAACAUAUAAUUGAUGGUUUCAAUUCCAAGGCCCGUGACAUGUUUGAAAGGGAAUUUUCAUUCUUUGACAAAGUCACAUCCGUUUCUGGUGUUCUCUUUCCGCUUCCUAAAGAAGAACGUCGAGCUGGGAUUCGGAAGGAGUUGGAGAAAAUUGAAAUGGAGGGAGAGGACCUUUAUUUACCGACUGCUCCUAGUAAGCUUGUCAGGGGAAUACAGGUGGACAGUGGAAUACC